rnacentral:rRNA from 1 species
AUACGGAGGAUGCGAGCGUUAUCCGGAUUUAUUGGGUUUAAAGGGUGCGUAGGUGGUAGAUUAAGUCAGCGGUGAAAGUUUGUCGCUCAACGAUAAAAUUGCCGUUGAUACUGGUUUACUUGAGUAUAGUUGAAGUAGGCGGAAUGCGUGGUGUAGCGGUGAAAUGCAUAGAUAUCACGCAGAACUCCGAUUGCGAAGGCAGCUUACUAAGUUAUAACUGACACUGAAGCACGAAAGCGUGGGUAUCAAACAGGAUUAGAUACCCUGGUAGUCCACGCAGUAAACGAUGAAUACUCGCUGUUUGCGAUAUACGGCAAGCGGCCAAGCGAAAGCGUUAAGUAUUCCACCUGGGGAGUACGCCGGCAACGGUGAAACUCAAAUGAAUUGGCGGGG